UGCCCGGCCAUUUAGAUCAUUGUUAAUGAAUGCCCAUAAUAAGCUGUUUCCUUAUACAAGCAUUUGUCUUCCUUCUAAUAUUUACUUAUGUAACAAAAUUUACCUGUAAUUUUAAUUAAAAUGGUUCCACAUCUUGUUUCAGCUCUGAGUUUCAAACAUAAGGUAACACUAGCUUAAAAUAAGUCAUAUUAAAAAAUUCAUAACCUUAACUGUAUUUUUAAAGCUUAGCAUUUUCAAUUGCUUUCCACUUUGUAUAUCUUUUUUAAGAUUCUCUGGGUUAUAUGUGCUUUCUAAAACAGCGCACACAUAGCUGUCAAAACUAAACUAUGCAAAGGAAAGGUCAGACUUCGACAGAUAAUUCCUGUUGCCGUGGAAACAAAGUCGGUUUUGGAAAAAGCUGCAAGUUCCUCUAAAUAACCACAGAUUCAAAAACUUCAUGGUCUUCCUUUGACAGGUGUAGUGAUCUUCCUCAGGUUGAAUACUUUCUCCUUUUAAAUCCAGUAUUUGGGGUAUGCAAGCAAAAUCUAUAAGAUGAAAGGAAUUGAGAGAAAGCGUAUAAUCAAUUUAGGACCAUCUAUCAAACAUUUUAUCAUUGCACCGUAGUUCAAGGUAAUCAUACACAGGAGCAACAAUUUCUGUGAUUCUCUGCCAGGAUAUCACACACACAAUAUAAAUGGAGAGA
rnacentral:lncRNA from 1 species